AAUUGUCUUGUUUCGGUUUGGUAUUUGUUAGCCAUGAAAUAAUGACAAUUUCUUGCACAAAAGGUGUUAUUUUUUCCCCACCUGAGUAUUUUUCUCUCCUUUCCUUUCUUGCCUCUCCUUCCCCCUUUCCCUCAUCUGCCAGUUUUUAUCUUCUUUGCUUUGGAGAGGAAUAUAAAAUUAUUGAAUCAAAUAGCUACCCAGAGGGAAGGGGCAAAUAUUCUUACCUGCAGUCAAGAAAAAUGAAAACCUUUAUCACAAGCAGUCUAUUUAAAGUAAACAGUUUUAAUCUGGGCAAGGCCUGUCGACAGGGAGCAGAAGUUACAGCCUGGCACAGAAGUUUAAUUCUUGUUUGGAAAUUUGGGGGGAGAGUGUUUUUCUAAAAUGCAGUCUGCUGGCUUAUUAUUUUUUUAAGGGCUGACAGUUAAUUAGCACCAAGGCUUAUUACAGAAGUCUCCUCUGAAGCAGACAGAUUCAAGUUCUACUGAAGUGAUUGUCAUCAAGGGGUUGUUUGCCGUGGUGCUCACAGAUGGCAGGAAAGACAGCCCAGGAACGCAAACAGCCUGAUAAUCAAGAUAGCCUUAAAAUAUGGAGCCAUACAGAGUGGAAAAUACACAUAACGCUGCCUGUAAAGCAAGUUUUGCCACCAUGGUGCCCUCUGAUUUCCUAACAUCUGUAUUUUAAAAAGGGAGGACUUCCUGUAUUUUAUGGAAGAAUGAUUUGCAGUUUCAUAAACACAAAUCAAGAGUGGCCUUUCCUCCCUUUCUUGAGUAGGAGUGUGUUGGCUGUGCAGAAGUCUCCAAAUAAAUGACCUUGGUUCGGUGUACUUCAGUUCAAGCUUCACUGAGAGGUAGGCCUUCCGGACCUGGGCCCUUCUCCCCUUUCCUGGGCUGUGUCCCUUUUUAGGCUUCACAGCAAGGCUGCAGCAGUACCUCAUUCUCUCUGCUCUGCAGUGAAGCUGACAGUAUAGAACUGUGCUACACCCAGCAGCAUCCGCUGUCUUACAACAAAACACAUCCUCGGGACACAACAAGGCACGGUAGAAAAACAGCAAGGAUUCAGAAUCAGCAGAUUAAUUUUCUCUAAGAAUCCUAGGGCAAAGUCUCUACAUUUUUUCUUUGUAUAAACAUAGUAAUUUAAAUUAUCGCAAACAUUUGUUUAUACAUACGUACACAUACAUUUGUUUAUAUACACACACAUACUCACAUAUAUAUAUAUAUACUAUAUCCACACACAUUUAUAUGUAGUGGCAGUUAAGACUCUCAAUUGGUCAAUGUCUAAAUUAAUUAAUUAUUGCUAAUUAUUAAUACUAAUGGUGAAGAAAUUUGGGAAAUAACUCUCUUUUUACGGUUCUAGAUCUCAGAUUCCUAAUAAAGAUAUUUGGGUUGCAUGGGGAACUGAUUCAUUGGUAGAUUGUUUAUGAAUUUUACAAGGGAAGUUACAAUUGUCAGAGGACUGAUUAUGAUUAUUUUAAUAAUAAUAGCUACUGCUUAAUGCUACCUAUUCUCGCUCAAGUUUUGUUAUUACGGAUCUUUAGAACAAAUCCAUAAAGUAUGAACAAUGUAUGCUUUACAUGGAAAGAAACUGAGACUGAUAAGAUCUGGACAACUUGCCCAUGUCACUUUCCCUGGUUACUCGGCUAUCAAAUGACAAAAUAAAUGUGGAUCUGUGUCUUCCUGCUUUCUUCACACAUCUCUUCUCCAUGUCUUGUUGAUCACUAAUAGUAAUCAAAAUUUACUCUGUGCUCUCUACUUGAGAUGUUUGAUUAUUGAGCCUGUGAUUUUCCUAAAUGCUUCUUCUGUUGAAUUGUUAACAGUGAUAUACUUAUGACAUUUAACCAGGUAUCUCAAUAAAACACAAGUUUUGGUUAAAAUAAGACUGACAAUUCUGACAAACCAGAUCAAAUACAAUAUUAAAACAGACUCAAAUGGACGCUUUCGGUAAGUUUUAUUUUUGCCCUACUCUGGAUGAUUAUUCCAUUUUCAGAACUGUGAGACCCUCCAAGUCCGUGCUCUCGUUCACAUCUGUCAUUUACCUUGUUUACCUGAAUGUUCUUGGACAUCCCUUACUUUCUUCUUCCUGUCUCCAAAACAAGAUACAAUGGGCUGGCAGAGCUUGUUUAUUUCUGCCUUGUCUGGCCUCAGACUUUCUUCAAGGUCUAAUACAAUGCUGGCAUUCACCUCCCAAGUCUGGGAUCCUGGGCCUCACUUGACUUGGUCCUAUCCUGUGUUAGCACUGCUCAGCAUGAAUUCCUACACACCAGUCUUCACAAACAGCUUCUUUCACUUGCAUGCUCCUUAUCUUCACUCAGAUCUGAAGGCUUUGAAGUGGAAGCUUUCUGUUUCUUUGUGUGUUUCUAUAGUACCCUUCCAUAUCUACUAACAUUACAUAAAGUCCUUUCAGGGCAUUUAGUGGAUUCUCCUAAACCAGAGAUCCCCUGUUCAAGAGGGAAGAAUGAACCAGGUUAUUGACAACUUAUCAAGUCUGUUUUCCACUCUUAGAAUGGGAACCCUAACACUCCGCUCUGUUACUAAUCCCCAUGUCAUUGCUGAAGAUGAUCACUAAACUUUUACAAAAUACUGUGUGUUUAACAUUUUCUGGAUUGGUCCAGAGUCUGGGACUCUCAUCUCUAAUUAUAACUUUAUAUCCAUGUGGAUAUUCUAUUACAUGACUCAGAUACUGAAAUAUGGAAUGUUCAGUCCACAGUAGAAAAUGACAGUUUCUAGGCAAGUUCUCAUACUCCACAGGUUAGUCCUUUACAGUUUUAAAAAAAUAGUUAAAAAUAUAUGCAUAUUAAGGUUUUUUGAUUGUUCAUUUGUUUGUUUUUAACAUGGUAUCUUAUUUCUUGCAUUCUAAAUUCACCUGGGACUGACCAACGGCUUUUCUCUUCAGACAGGGCACAUUUUCUCCAAUUUGGUCUGCUAUCCAAGUACUUGGUACUUCUCAGAGAGAUUUCCACCAACCGCACUUCAUACAUCAGUACCUGCCUUCAAUCGGGGAAUACCCAGCCAUCUACAGAAGAAUGACUGUAUCGAUGUUUUCAGAAGGCAGGAGGCAACGUCACUGCUGGAGGCGCUUGCAGGGGUAAGUUGCAUGGGGCUGAGUUCUAAGCUGACAUUUAGAGGCUUUGCACAUGGAGGCAGAUAUUCUACUCCUGAAGUCUCCAUACAAUACAUCUGGGUUAUGAUGGUAACAGGACAGAUCUUACAGGGCCAUUUGGUAGAGUAUGUGAGUCCAUUUUUUUUUUAUUUAAAGAACACAACAGAGUCCCUGGCAUAUUAUGUUACUCUAUAAAUGUCAGGUACUAUCAGCCAAGGUGGUAAAGAAUCCAGGAAUAUGCAUUUCAGUGCUAAAACAUGAAGUCUGAGCUUGACCCUGAAAUGAAAAUUAUCAGGUUAGUUUUUGUUAGUGGUUUUAAAAUAUGAUAAGGAAUUUUUCAUGGCUAUUCUAACAACUGCUACUAUUUGCUGUGGAGAACAGGUUGGAGGAUGGAAAGAAAGACAGCUGGGUGGUGACUAGUACAGUCAAAGUCUGAAGCACUGAUUGUUUUUAUGGAGAAAACUGUAAAAGGAAAAUCUCCUUGGGAAGUUGUUAUCAAUUUGCUACAAGAUAGUGAAUGGUAACCCCAAGGGUCAUAAGCGCCUUUGUUUGCCUGAUAGAAGUUAUAGACCAUCUCAAAGAUAUACAUGUUCAGUUGCAAAACUAAAGGCAUUUUUAGGGGAUCCUAGAAGCCUUGCUUUAGAAAGGCAGGGGAUACACACAUAAUGAAACCAACAGAAUGCAUAAAAAGUGAGUGGAUCAUUUUUCCAUAUACAAUAUUGCAAUUUUGUUUUAUUUAUACUUUGUAUAAUCUGCUAUUUUAGUUUGCCCUAUAGAGUACUGAAAUGUUUUUGUACCUCAACUAGUAGGAGUCAUAUGUCUUUUGAUCUACAUUUUUUUCCUCAAAAAAAAAAAAUCUUACUUCAUUUAACUAGUCUGGCCACGCUCCAUUCAUGGCUGGUAAGUGCAGGACAUCAUAUUCAGCUCCACACUGCCAGACCACCAUCUUCUAUCCUGUUUUGAAACUUGAUGUGUGGGCCUCCUGUAGUACAUUUAAAGAUCACUUAAUAAAAACUGCUUAAGAUUUUUUUUUUCCAGUUUGAAAAUUUAAAAUAAAUUGGCUUGGAAAUUUCCCCCUUCUCCAUUUCUUACAUCACUUAAAUCUAAAGACUGAGUAGAGGAGCAAAGGGUCUAUGUCAUCAAUAUCACCUUUACAAGUCAAUCACUUCAGUCCAACUAUUUCACAUCAUCAUAGAGCAAGCUGCUAAGUAAGAGUCCAGGUACCCCACAUUGACCUUUCCAUCCUUUACAUAAGAGGCAAUGAGAAAUUAGAGGCAGAAGGUCUGUGUUCUCUUUCUACCAGCCUUCGCAUUCCCAAUAGUUGCUCCAAAUAACUCCCUGUGGUUUGCCUAUCACACCCUGUAUGUUUAUGCAAGCUGCUUUAUACUUAAUUCUGUGGCAGACACCAAGCAUAUGUUGGUUGUAUAUUUGUUUAAAACUUUUUAUGUAUAACAGAGGAUAUGAAUCUAGGUUUUUGCUAGUAAUGAAACCAUUCUCUCUGCAUCUGAUUAGUCCUUAGGGGACCGCAAAUAACAUUUUGUGACUAUUUACCAAAUUUUCACUAUCAGUUCUGAAAAGCAACAGUAUAAUAGUGUCACUUGUUUUUGUGAUUCCUAAUGGUAUGGAUGUGCCUUUUAAGUUGUGGCAAUCCUCACUAUGAAUAUAAUUCUUCUGAAGAUAAAUGGACAUAAGCAUUAGAAAGUGGUAAUGCGGUAUCUUAGAGCCCCCCAAAUCCUAUUCUUAUCACAAGAAUAAUGCAAUUACUCUGAGUCUCAAUAUCGAUUUUACGUGCUGCUGUAGUAAUUUGUCUAUGAUUUGUAUAGACAGUAUUGACAGUUUCCAUAAUGUCUAUAGAGACUUUAAUUGGAAUAUUUUAAAAUGUUUUUCCUUUGUGGAUACAGUUUUGUUUCAGUAAUGAUUGAUACAUGAUAUGCUCGUCUAAGUUCAAAGAUAACGAACAAUUUGAGCAAAACACAGUUUAACUGAACAACACAGUUUAAGUUUGAAAACAACAAUUGAGAUUAAAACAGACCAAGGCUAAUGAAAGCAGCCAAGCUUUUUUGUGUCUCACUGGCCCAGGAAAAAAGUGAACACCAUGCACAGCCAGGAGGGACCAAUAGACUCUGGCUGACCUGGAAGUCUAAGGAUUGUGCUAUGGGGAUUCUAUACUCUCUCACUCAGCACCAUUGAUGUCAUUUAAUUUCGUGAAAUUAGGAUUAAAGCAUCUUCCUAGUUUUCAGGGUGAUUGCAAAGACCAAAUAAA